AUUGAACGCUGGCGGCAUGCCUUACACAUGCAAGUCGAACGGUAACAGGUCUUCGGAUGCUGACGAGUGGCGAACGGGUGAGUAAUGCAUCGGAACGUGCCCAGUAGUGGGGGAUAGCCCGGCGAAAGCCGGAUUAAUACCGCAUACGACCUGAGGGUGAAAGGGGGGGAUCGCAAGACCUCUCGCCAUUGGAGCGGCCGAUGUCAGAUUAGCUAGUUGGUGGGGUAAAGGCCUACCAAGGCAACGAUCUGUAGUUGGUCUGAGAGGACGACCAGCCACACUGGGACUGAGACACGGCCCAGACUCCUACGGGAGGCAGCAGUGGGGAAUUUUGGACACUGGGCGCAAGCCUGAUCCAGCGAUGCCGCGUGCAGGAAGAAGGCCUUCGGGUUGUAAACUGCUUUUGUCAGGGAAGAAAUCUUCUGGGUUAAUACCUCGGGAGGAUGACGGUACCUGAAGAAUAAGCACCGGCUAACUACGUGCCAGCAGCCGCGGUAACAC
rnacentral:rRNA from 1 species